rnacentral:rRNA from 1 species
UACGUAGGGGGCAAGCGUUGUCCGGAUUUAUUGGGCGUAAAGAGCGUGUAGGCGGCUAGAUAGGUCAGCUGUGAAAACUCGAGGCUCAACCUCGAGAUGUCGGCUGAAACCAUCUGGCUAGAGUCCGGAAGAGGAGAAUGGAAUUCCCGGUGUAGCGGUGAAAUGCGCAGAUAUCGGGAAGAACACCCGUGGCGAAGGCGGUUCUCUGGGACGGUACUGACGCUGAGACGCGAAAGCGUGGGGAGCGAACGGG